rnacentral:rRNA from 1 species
AUUGAACGCUGGCGGCAUGCUUUACACAUGCAAGUCGAACGGCAGCGGGCCUUCGGGUGCCGGCGAGUGGCGAACGGGUGAGUAAUGCAUCGGAACGUGCCAUUGAGUGGGGGAUAACGUAGCGAAAGUUACGCUAAUACCGCAUAUUCUGUGAGCAGGAAAGCAGGGGACCGCAAGGCCUUGCGCUCUUUGAGCGGCCGAUGUCAGAUUAGCUAGUUGGUGAGGUAAAGGCUUACCAAGGCGACGAUCUGUAGCGGGUCUGAGAGGAUGAUCCGCCACACUGGAACUGAGACACGGUCCAGACUCCUACGGGAGGCAGCAGUGGGGAAUUUUGGACAAUGGGCGCAAGCCUGAUCCAGCCAUGCCGCGUGAGUGAAGAAGGCCUUCGGGUUGU